CCUACGGGGGGCUGCAGUAGGGAAUAUUGCUCAAUGGGGGAAACCCUGAAGCAGCACCGCCGCGUGGGGGAUGAAGGUUUUCGGAUUGUAAACUCCUUUUGUUAGAGAAGAUAAUGACGGUAUCUAACGAAUAAGCACCGGCUAACUCCGUGCCAGCAGCCGCGGUACUACGGAGGGGGCAAGCGUUACUCGGAUUUACUGGGCGUAAAGGGAGCGUAGGCGGGAUAGCAAGUCAGAAGUGAAAGCCGAUGGCUUAACCAAAGAACUGCAUUUGAAACUGUUCUGCUAGAGUAUGGGAGAGGUAAGUGGAAUUCUUGGUGUAGGGGUGAAAUGCGUAGAGAUCAAGAGGAACACUCAUUGCGAAGGCGACCUACUAGAACAUAACUGACGCUGAUGCGCGAAAGCGUGGGGAGCAAACAGGAUUAGAUACCCGUGUAGUC
rnacentral:rRNA from 1 species